rnacentral:rRNA from 1 species
CCUACGGGAGGCAGCAGUGAGGAAUAUUGGUCAAUGGGCUUACGCCUGAACCAGCCAAGUCGCGUGAGGGAAGACUGCCCUAUGGGUUGUAAACCUCUUUUGUCAGGGAGCAACGCCGGCUUCGUGUAGCCGGACUCAGAGUACCUGAAGAAAAAGCAUCGCCUAACUCGGUGCCAGCAGCCGCGGUAAUACGGAGGAGGCGAGCGUUAUCCGGAUUUAUUGGGUUUAACGGGUGCGUAGGCGGAAUGCCAAGUCAGCGGUAAAAUCGCGGGGCUAAACUUCGCUCCGCCGUUGAAACUGGCGUUCUUGAGUGGGCGAGAGGUAUGCGGAAUGCGUGGUGUAGCGGUGAAAUGCAUAGAUAUCACGCAGAACUCCGAUUGCGAAGGCAGCAUACCGGCGCCCAACUGACGCUGAAGCACGAAAGCGUGGGGAUCGAACAGGAUUAGAUACCCGAGUAGUC